rnacentral:misc_RNA from 1 species
CGCUGCAAGACCAUACACUCAACCAGUUCGAACACAUCGCCAUCGGCAUGACGAAGUUGCGCCGGUUCUCGCGUUAAAUGUGAUCUCCAAGAACAAUGCGAUAGGGCGGUAAUUGGACAUUCACUAUCUAAAUAGCCAAGUGUUCACGUUGUUUCAACCUGUGAAGUUAUUCACAGUGCUUGCUGCUAUUCGGUGCGUCAAACUGCAAAGCGCUGUGUCGUGAACACAACAUUCGGCACCUGCCAGUCCGCCGACUUCUUGCACCACCUGGGAGAGUUCAUGUCCCCACCAUCCCCACCAAUGACAAGGCCAGCUGACACUUCCCUGACAAAUAUGGCUGGGGACGUCUUCACCAAUGGCAGUGCUUACGAGGAAAUUGCCCAGAUUGGUACAGGUGCGUUUGGCACUGUGUACAAGGCCCGAGACCGCCAGAACGAAGGACGUUUUGUUGCCUUGAAGAAAGUGCGCGUGUCGCUUAACGAGGAGGGUAUCCCGACCGGUACACUGCGUGAAAUCGGCCUCCUCCGUCAGCUGGACGCUGCACAGCACCCAAAUGUGGUGCGUCUGCUGGAUAUCUGUCAUGGCAACCGGCUGGAGCGGGAGCUAGUUCUCUUUCUCGUCUUCGAGCACAUUGACCAGGACUUGGCAGGAUUCUUGGAGCGCUGCCCUGAGCCAGGCCUUGAGCCUGAGCUCAUUGCCUGGCUCCUCAAGCAGCUGCUGACCGGAGUGGAGUUUCUGCACUCACAUCGCAUCGUUCAUCGUGACCUGAAACCUCAGAAUGUCCUGGUGACAGCUCAGCGGCAGCUCAAGCUUGCCGACUUUGGCUUGGCCCGUCUGUACGAGCGGGAAAUGUCACUGACGCCUGUUGUGGUCACGCUCUGGUAUCGUCCACCUGAGGUUCUUCUUCAAGCAAACUAUGGUUCACCGGUGGAUGUAUGGAGCUGCGGUUGUAUACUCGCAGAAAUGGCACGUCGCAGGCCUCUGUUCAGUGGCCGUUCUGAGGCAGAGCAACUGUCACGGAUCUUAGACAUCAUAGGCCUUCCCCCAGCAGACGAAUGGCCAGCGGACGCUGCUGUUUCAAGGCAGACAUUCUCAAACUUCAGCUCUUGUGGAACUUCUUUGGAGCAAGCUGUGCCACAACUUGAAGGUCCCUUCAUGGAUCUACUACGCCAGAUGCUGCGUUUCUGCCCCCACCGUCGCAUCACAGCGAAGGCCGCUCUAGCGCACCCGUGCUUGGCAGAUGUCAACGAUGUCACUGUUUCGUGAUAAUGGACUGGACGACAUGACCACAGUCGGGAGACAUCUGCAGCAUCGCGUGAACAGCGACUGUGGAAAGAUAUACAUGUGUGCUGGUCCAGUCGGUUCCUUCACUGCCAGUGCAAGCCCUCAUCUCAUGUGAGCAUAUCUCGAGCACUAAAAUGUGCUCCUGUUUGUCCAGUUGAAUUUUCUGUGUGUGAGGUACAGCUGCAUCUUCAUUUUCUAGUAAUCGUCAUAAUUUCUCACUACUGCUAAGUGAUGUAGCAAUGAAUUUCCACCUCGCUCGCCUAUUUCAUUCAUUGUCGUGACACUCCACUGGAGGCAUCCAUCAUGUGCUGUGACUGUUGACUCUGUGUGUACAAUACAGCACUGGCACAGCUAGUAAGAGUUAAGUAAACGAUUCAUUUCCUAGCUCAAUGCAUGUGACAGUUUUCGUAGCUUUGUUACCAGCUAUGAAUUGUUCUUGUAAGCGCUUGGCUGAAAUUUGCACUGGUAUGGUAGAUUUGCACGGUUGCUAUUAACCGCAAUGUUGGUUGGGCCUGUGAUUGGCUGCCCACAUCAUUUCUGGAGCGAGUCACAAAAGUAACGCGGCAACUACGAAUUUACUGUUCAUAUAUCCAGUAGCACCCAAUUUAGGUGCGAUAGUCUAAGCAUUGCGCAUUGAUCAGAAACAUUAUACUGCUGACCACACUUAUGGUUUGUUCCUUGCUGUCAGAGGUAGCAGGAGUUAUCACCAUAUAGCCGUCAAUCAACCCCUCACAGUCCUUCACUUCAUUACAUUUUAAUACAGAUCGUUCAUAAUAUGCCAGCUUGGCUCUGAAAACAGGACUACCAUUUGUGGCCACUGUGGCUGCUCUCAUAUUUUGUGUGCUCAAUUAUGUUCAUUUUUGACAUGCAAAGGAAGUGUACAUACUAUUCAGGGGUAUUUUCAGAUGUGCCAUACUCAGCUAAUACUUGUGCCUUCUUGUAUGUUUGUAUGUUUACAAUGACUAUAUGUUUAAACUAUUUUUGAUACAACGUAUAAAAAUGCUGCUGUAUUUUGCCCCUUUAUGUGCAUAUCACUGCUUUUGGUGUACUAGAGAUGUCAGGUGAACACCCGUUGUGGUGACAUGCUUCACUGCUGCCUUCAACCAGAUGCAACGUACGACGGAAUGAAAGCCCCCAAAAAGCAAUUUUCGCUGGGCCUGCUUUGCGGAAUGAAAUGUGUUUUAUAGUAGUUUUAUCAAGACAAGAAAACAUGCACAUAAACUAGAGCUGGUGGCUGUGUGGGUUUUUUCCUUGAUUGCCACUGACUGAGUCCAUUUUUACAGGCCUAAUACAACUGUCUAUCUGAGGUGCCAUAGCUCAGGCCACGAAUCAUUUGUACAAUGCAUUUCAUCUCUCAAAGCACCAUGUCGUGGGUUCGAUUCCCAGUUGCAUGUUAUUGAAGAUGAAAUUUGUUUUUCUAUCCAUGUGCAUCAGGUUUUUAGAGGUCAUUACAGGGAUCUAGGAUAGUCAAAAUUAAGCCAGCAAGUGCACUUUUGUUUAGGACACCCUAUACAUGGCUCUUAUGUUCAGUGAUGGUUUAGUGCAUGCAUGGAUGAUUAACUGGUAAACAAGGGUGUUUAAUAGCCCCUUUAAAAUCAUGUGAAGCACUAUUGCUAUCAUAAAGGAUGCCACAAUGAGGUGGGUUGUACCCUCGCGAAUAUUCCACUGACAAUAGUUGUAUGAUUAUGCAGGCUCUUCCAUCUUCAACAUAAAAGCUGUAAAAAGCAGGAGUGUUAGUCCCAGGCAGAAAGUAGAUAGAGAUGUUGACAAAGAACAGCAAUUGUUGAGCAGUUUCUUUUUAUUUGUGACAGCCAAACAUUUCUUAAUGCAUGCCUGCUUGUUCAAGUACGAAACCUGAGAAAAACAAACUGUAGUUGGUGUCAAUUUUUAAGAUCUAUUUUGUCAGUGGAGUGAGGAGAUAUUUCUCUGACAGCUCUGGUUUGUGAAGUGAAAACUGCACCAUUCACUUAAUACAAGCCAUGAGUAGGAGCUGCUGCUUCAGCACAUUCCAAAUGGUCUAUGAGGACCUGGAAUUGCACCAGAUCUCAUUCAACAUAUUUUUAACCAGAAAAAAAAAAUUUCAUGAUAAACGCCUUUCUAUGCUGUUCAAAACCACCUUGCGUUAUCAAUCUGCAUGUGUCCAUUUCUUAUUGACAUCAGGCUUCAUGUUUUGGCAGGACCACACAAUGCUUCAUUGCCAAAACACAGCUGUUCUACCCCUCAUUUGUGCGUCAUAGAGGUACACCUGUUGUCGUUCUGUUUGUUAAUACAAAAAUAAAGUCUUUAUGCAAAUAGAGCCUGUUUCAUAUUACUGCUGGCAUCAUGAAUUUCUGGAGACAGCAUGUUUAAUCCAGGAAGCUCAGUAGCCUCCUGGUGCGUUCUGUCUGUUUGUGUCACCAUAACCAAUAAAGAGCCCAGUCAUAACACGUUUUCUGUACACAGGCCAUUUUAUUGUUAAACGGAGGCCAACAAACAAACAAAAAAGACACCACACAUACACACACCGAAGCACAUUGUGCGUGUACGUAGCCGCAUGUGUUUGCUUUGUGGGGACGGUUA